rnacentral:lncRNA from 1 species
GUUUAAGUAUGAGGCUACUGGUUUAUGCAGUGAUGAAGGAAAUCUUCUAGGGUUGUUGCCCCUCAACGCUUCCAGCAGCCGAUGAUCUUACAACUAAAUGUCAACAACCCAUGUCAUUUCAUCACCAUCAUCAAUCAAAAACCCUAAACCCUAAACUCUGAAAGCUCUGUUAAACGCACCCCUUAUUCUUCCCAAACGGGGGCUAAAAGUAUUUUGAGGCUAUGAUGAUUUUUUUAAUCAAAAGGAAGAUCAGAUUUAGAGCGAACCAGUAUCCUGGCGUGGCGAAAUCAGAGAAUUAUUGAGAUGGGUUCUCAUAAAGCAACUGAUUUCUGCAGCCAUGGCUGGUUUGUCAUUUUUUUCUUCUGAUGAUAAAAGGCGAAUCUGAGCCUCCAAUUACGUUUUCAAAAUGCAAAUUUUAAAUAUAAUUUAUUUUUUCUUUUCCACUGAUAUUUGAUUUUCACUUUCUACAACGAGGACUGUUUAAUAUGGG